GUUGUUACUCUUAUUUCAAUUUUAUCUUAUCUGUGUAUGUAUUUGCUCAGAUGGAUUCUGUGCUAUAAACUACGGGACCGUAACAGGAAUUGCAAGGCAAUUGAGCAUCUUGCUUAUCAUUUUCUCUAACACAUCUGCAAGUUUUCAUACUUUGUGGGAGGCUGAGCUGGAAGUACAGGUUUCCAGGAUUAGAGACAGCAUGUGCAGAGGAAAGAACACUGACACUAGCAGUCAAGGUUAGUUUAGUUCAACACGUAUUUAUUGAGUACCUUCUGUAUGCACCAGAUGCCAAAGAAACAAAGGAGUGUGAGAGUGGACCCCUGCUCUCUAGGAGCUUACACUUCUGCAAGGAUGGAGAACAAGUAAACAAAGCAGGACACGUGUAAUAAUAAGAGUAUAAACAGGGAGCAGGAGGGCCAUAAGACCUGGGUUCUAGCUCUAGCUGUGUGACCCCAGACAUGUUACUUAACCUCUCUGGGCCUCGUGGACAGUGAGAAUGGGGUAGGUAAUUUCUAACCCCUGAAAUUCUCACCCCUACAAUUCUCAAAACCCUGUGAAGUAGACAAGGCAGGCACAAUUUCUACUUUAGAGAGGUGAAGCCUGAGGUCGGAGAGGCUUAGCAAUGCGGCCAGAGCUCCACACCGGCUGGUCGAUAGAGCUAGCUCCAGACUAGUCUCAGGCAGGUCUUGGGAGCCAGACCCAGAAUGUGUCCACUCCAGGCUGCCCCGACAGAGAGCGGGGAUCUCUGAUGAAGGUGGCAGGAGGCUUUCCAGAUGCCCCCAGUUUGAGUCCCAUAUGCUACCGACCAAGAAGAGAACAGAGGCAGGUACCUUGCCCACCGCCACCCUCUCCUGUAAGCACUCCCAGCAGACAGUGGGUCUUUCUGAAAACCAGGUCAUCUUUUACAGAAUGACAUGGUGACAUUAGCACGGUUAUCCUGGUGAGCCCAGGAACCUUCAGCAGCCAAGGCCAGUCAGCAGUGCCUGGUUUCCAUUCACAGCCAGGCCCCCAUCUGUGCAUGAUGCAAAGGACAUUUUGGAGGCUGGGACAGCUCGCCCUCACUGUACCUCUGGGCCGCCGCCCACCCAGCCCACCCAGUAUGUGCACGCUUAGGGAACGUGAGUGAGCUCAUCUAAUUGAAGCAAAGCACAUUAAAGAUUCAUCUUUGCUGAGCCUCUAAAACCACGCCAUGGCCACCAAAGCUUAAAAGACAAGUCUCUGACCACAGCAGCCUCUGCCAUCUCCCGCCGUGGCACACGGCUCCAGGCGCUGUGGGCAACCCCACGGUCAUGGGAACCAUCUUUGGAGCAGGUGCUAUGUGUGCCAUGAAGAGGCCAACAACACAGUCCCUAGCAUCCAGGGCUUCAUAAUCAGAUGGCAGAGCAGUCAGAUGGGGUGAAGAGAGGAGUCACAGAUGACAAGGCCAGGAGACUGGUCCUAAGUGCUGGAGGUUUUGGGGAAGGGAGUGGCCACUGAGAGCUGCUACUGCCUGGGGAGGCGUCUGAGGGUCGCUCCAGCCCGACCUUGAAGGAGGAGAAGGACAGAAGGCAUUUAUUUGCAUUACCCCCACCCUCUGUGGGUAAUUUAAAUGAAAAUCAUAUGAAGGAGACAAAAGUGUCCAGAAAAAGGAUCGCCCGUGGGCAUCCAUCGUGUUUUCCCAGGGUGGCCCCGCACCCCCACACGUACACCCUCCCAACCCUCCCUCCCCAGAGCUGGCCUCAGAGCUGGCUAGGCAAGGGAAAUGGGUGCCACACAAGUGGCUUCCCAAGGGCCCUGUGGCGUGGGGGUGGGUUCAGACCCUGCCUCCACCACCCCGCAGCUGUGUGACGUGGAGCCAGUCCCGUGACCUCUCUGAGUCUGCUCCUCACCUGUAAGCGCGGGCGGGCAGUGCGGGCCUUGCAGGGCGGAGACGGACUAAGCCGACAGACACCAGCUGACCUGGCGGCACAGCCCCGCGCGCUUAGCCAGUCCUCCCUGUCGCCCUCCAUCCCCACAGAGGCCGUCUGAGGAGCGCCUGCCGUGCGUGCUCAGCCUUCCACAGGGGCCCUGCCCGCUCCAGGGCUUCACCGAAGACCGGCCUGGGGUUUGGGUUCAAAUCCACCCAGGGAGCGGCAGCCCAGGCUCCGAGGACAGACCCAAGGGCAGGAGAGCUUAUUUGCCAGUGUGUACUUGGAAGCGGCGGAUGGCAGGCUUUGGAUAACUGAGUUAAGAGGAUUUCUUCUCAACCUCCUUUGGUCACCCGGAUCUGAGGCCCCCGCCAAGGCUAGUGCUGGGGUCUCACAAGAGAGGGUACAAGAGAGACCUCAAGAGUGGGUGCCAGAAUGACCUCAAGAGUGGGUGCCAGAAUGACCUCAAGAGAGGGUGCCAGAAUGACCUCAAGAGUGGGUGCCAGAAUGACCUCAAGAGUGGGUGCCAGGCAGGACUACCUCAGUGCCAGAGAAGCCGACCUAAAGGCCCAAUGGUUGGCAGAUGGUCAGCACGCUGGGGACCCCAGCCUCCAGGGCUCUCCCAGGUUCUGGGAGCAGGAAGCUUCCAGAAGAGGGGAGAGAGAGACAGAAAGUGCAAGACUUCUCAGCAGCUCUCAGGACAGAUCUGGGAUGAAGGCGGGAAAAGGACAGAGAAGAAAAAGGAAGAGACAAUGAGGACGAAAAGGGGGUGCAAAAUGAAGGGCACAGGAGCCAGGGCAAAGGAGGGAAGGAGCUGACAGGAUGCUCACCUCCCGGAGGCUAAGCCCUAAGCCCGCCUUAAAUGGGAAGGUGGCUGAUCGCCAGCUUCCGGACAUGGAGGAGGGCUGGAGGUCUUGGGUGCCUCCUACUUCUCCUGCCUUGGGGACCCUCCUGCCUCAUCAUCAU